ensembl:lncRNA
AUAAACUUCAAUACGAGGACCUAAACCUGGCAUGAAAGGUCAUCAUUAUAGCUGUGUGGGCUAAUAUUAUGCAUAUGUUUGCCUUGGGGUAAAUUGAGCCAAUGGCCAUGGGGUAAGCUGAGCAAGUGGUUAAGGCAAUGGCAAGUUGAGCAAACUGAAGUGUUUUCUUCCCAAUCGUAACGCGAGGCGUUAUCUCUGGGAUAUGAAGUAACAAGCGGGGGAAUUGUCGUCGUCCCCCAGGACUUAAAAAAAAGUUGAAGCUCAUUUCAACCAAAAUGUGUCUUCUGCAUUUAACCCAACCCCUCUGAAUUAGAGAGGUGCGGUGGGCUAGUUUUACAGUUGUGAUACUACACCCCUGAAAGGAGGGAAAUACUGACACGCAACAUCAGAGACGAAAUUAAACUUAGGACAUUUACCUGACGAAAUUAAACUUAGGACAUUUACCUGUACUGUUUGCAUGUUGAUAUCAUUGUAAUGUAGGCCUUAUUGGGGAGAUAGGCCAUGGUGAUAUCAUUUUAAUGUAGGCCUUAUUGGGGAGAUAGGCCAUGGUGAUAUCAUUGUAAUGUAGGCCUUAUUGGGGAGAUAGGCCAUGUUGAUAUCAUUUUAAUGUAGGCCUUAUUGGGGAGAUAGGCCAUGGUGAUAUCAUUUUAAUGUAGGUCUUAUUGGGGAGAUAGGCCAUGGUGAUAUCAUUUUAAUAUAGGCCAUGUUGAUAUCAUUGUAAUGUAGGCCUUAUUGGCGAGAUAGGCCAUGUUGAGAUGUCCAUAUUGAAACAUGUAAGUUCCUAACUUGUUUGACAAUUCGUACAGAUUUUCUGAGGGGACCCUACAUGGAGCCCCGACCCCAAGUUUGGUAACCACUGUACUAACCCCUCUCUCUGUGUCUGCUUCGGGAUUUGAUUUGAUUUGCAUUGCAGCCUCACCACUGAGCACCACAUCACUGUCUCAGUAGCCUACCCUCUGGAAAGAAAGUAUUUUUCUGCUCCGUUUAACGUUAGCUUCUCACUUCAUCCUUCUGGUUCAGUAAUACCAGCCAGACGUUAGCUUCUCACUUCAUCCUUCUGGUUCAGUAAUACCAGCCAGACGUUAGCUUCUCACUUCAUCCUUCUGGUUCAGUAAUACCUGCCAGACGUUAGCUUCUCACUUCAUCCUUCUGGUUUAGUAAUACCAGCCAGACGUUAGCUUCUCACUUCAUCCUUCUGGUUCAGUAAUACCAGCCAGACGUUCGCUUCUCACUUCAUCCUUCUGGUUCAGUAAUACCAGCCAGACGUUAGCUUCUCACUUCAUCCUUCUGGUUCAGUAAUACCAGCCAGACGUUCGCUUCUCACUUCAUCCUUCU